GUAAUUAACUAUUUUCUUUCUUUUUUCUUUUUUAGGAAUAGGGUCUCAUAGGACAAUGUCUCAGUACAACCUCAAACUUCUUGGCUCAAGCGACCCUCUCGCCUCAGCCCCCCUAGUAGCUGGGACUACGGGCACACCACCAUGUCUAGCUGGGACUACAGGCACACCACCAUGCCUGGCUAAUUAAUUUUUUUUUUUUUUUUUUUAGAGAUAGGGUCUUGCUCUGUUGCCCAGGCUGAUCUCGAACUCCUGGGCUCAAGCAAUCCUCCUGCCUCAGCCUUCCAAAAUGUUGGGAUUAUAGGCGUGAGUCACUGCACCUGGCCUUGUAAUGAUCUAAUUUCUUGUAUGGUUUAUUUAUCAGGGUCUGCCUUCCUAACAGGCUGUAGGUUCCUCAAGGGUUGGGACUGUGCCUGUGUUCUGGGCACCUGCCCAUGCCUGGCAAUUUGAAGAAGCUCAAUUGCUACAUGUUGAAGGAAUGAAUAAUUGCAUGAGCAACCAUCGAUAAUUGCAUGCUACAACCAUCAAACUUGCAGGGUUCUUCCAUGGAAUAAGUGAGGUAAUUAUGUGUAAAAAUGAAUGAAUGUUGUACUUGUUAUAAAAUAAGAUCAUGGGCUGGAGAAAUAGUCCAGCGAAUGAGUGAACGAAUCAAUGGCCUCAGCUGCCCGAGUGGGCGGAGCUUACGUUCUUUCCACAAGGGAAGUUCCCUAGGAGUUUCCGUCAGUAGCUCCCGAGCACGCCGGAGGCCUGGCCUGUGGAUGAGAUUGUUCCUUAUUUCCCCAGCUUCAGCACCACAGAAGAGACCAGAGUCUACCUUGCCAGCUCCUCUAGCACCGACCACGUGCCAAUUCAUGUCCUGAAUGCUCACUUCACUUCUUCACCUUGCUUCACUUCACUUACUGCACGGGAACAGAAAAGCCUAGAGAGGAUGGAUUACCUGUGCGGUUGCCUCCCUCUGCAGAGUGGGCGUGUCUCAGGAGCUUCUCUUCUUCUCCAGCCCAGUGCGGCCUCGUGUCAUCCAUAGGACCCACCGGCAGAGGGCAGGGCCUGCGAGUGGGGCCAGCCUCCUGGUGACUCUCGCCUCCUCUUUUCCAGCGGACGCUACCAGAGGACGAAGGUCUGACUCUGGCCAACGGCCCAGAAUUUCUGGCCCAGUUUUGCCUGAGGAAGCCAACUGUGCAGGAGGUCAGGAUCCCGGUAGGGUGAGAGUGGGAAAGUUAACAUUCCCAAGAGACUCCAAGCAACAGGAUUUCCUGACCUGGGACUAUUACCUUUCUCACAUUACAUGGCCAGAUUUACUUCCUGCUAUUAUUAAAAGUACGAAAAAGAUGAAGAUAUGUGUUUAAUGGAAACAAGGGCAAGAGUUUGCCUGACUGGACUUUGAGGAGGCUGUAGGAUCAUGGCGCUAACGGCAUUUGGAGGGCUGGGAAGGGACUCUAGCCCUGGCUUUACCUGCCUUUGUCAUCAGCUGGAGCAAGCAACUCCGCAACCUCGGAGCCUCAGUUUCCUUUUCUGUAAAAGGCGGGGAGGGUGGGUGGUAAGUGCAAUGCUGAAUCAGAACUCAUAGAGCUGCUGGGUGGACAUGUGAAGUAAAAGAGGAGACAGCUUUUGCUCCUGAAGGAUGCCAUUUGCGUUUUCCUCAUCAGUUUGAUCUCCUCCAAUCAUCCAGCACCUCCAUCUGACCUUCUCAGCUGAGAGGUCCUCAGUGUUUCUGUGGCCUCCAGGAGAAAGGUCCCCCUCCCCGGCUGAGGCCAGGCUGAUGGCAGGCUGCACGGCCAGCCUUCCACAGUCACCUGAAGGAUACAGAAAAGGAAGAGCUGGAGGCUUCUAGCAAGCUGCCGAACUGUGUCCUCCAGCUGCGCCCAGCCCCCUGGAGGUAGCGCCGGAGCACGUGGUGGUGGCUAUGUAGGAAGGCCCCUUUCGAGCCGCCCUAUACUGUCUUUGGGAUCUGCUUUUUACUGCCACAGCCUAUGUGCUCCUGAUUCUUCUCUCAAUCCCUGGAUGGAAACCGGCCUCUGAUACUUGGCUCUGCUUCCUUGGAGGAGCUACUUAACCAUUCAGUCCUCUCUGCAGUUAGCUAUUAAGGUUGUCCUGCGAACUGAAGCAGAGAGUCCCCGCAAAGGGUGCAGAGUAGGGCACCCACAGAGGAGCCUCUAAAGCACUUUCCAUGAGGUGGAUGGCUUCUCCUCCCCAAGGGACCCAGGAAGGAAAGGAGAGCUGCUUCUGCCUCCCCAGCAGAGAGGGACCUUCCCAGAGAAGAUGUCUUGCGCCUCACCUGAUCUUGUUCUGAGAGUAGGAGACUGGAAGAGAAGCGUUCAACUCCCCAAACACAGCUGGGUUUGUUUCGUUUAAUCUCCCAGCCUGUUUUUCUGCUGUCCUCCUGAAGAAUGUUUAAUCUCACAGUUAAAACCACCAAAAGCGACUUUUUUCCCCCUCAACUGCUCAGUAACACAUGACCGUGCAAAUUCGUUUGGCCCCAGCGCCACAAGUCAUAAAAGGCAUCUAGUGGGCGGCAUGAGUCAAUCAGGCCUUUGGACGGUGACGUAACCACAGCUUGUCAGUUUCCCCAUCCAGGCAGCCCCAAUCCCCCAGUGCAGACAUCUGGAGCCAGGGAUUGACAAGUGGAUUCCAGGAUUGGGCCCUGCCUCCCGCCCUGUUCAGUUCCAGCCCAGCCACGGCCGCCGCCAACGAGGACACGCACUGUCUUUCUGCACAUUCCCACGUACACACACCCCCGCAGCCCCCUCUCCACUCAUUCCUGCAUUUCCGGCAAUGUGAAUUCUGACAGCUCGGGCAGUGUCAGCCUCUCCGGUGCAUUCCUCACCACACCACCUCACUGCUCCCGAGCCUGCUGACAGCACUCCCCGCCAUACCUACCAAGCCGAAGGUGCAAGGAACCUCUUGAUCCCCACUGUGUCUUUGUCCCAGGGCCACAGCAAAAUAGCACCCCCCUCCCCCACACACCCUCUAGCCUAAUUUAUUAGACUUUUAAACACAUUUAUUUACUGUGAUAUCUACACCACACCAAACAUCUGGAGGGAAACCGGGAGACAAUCCACCAGGAAUUUAAAUGUUUGUUCUGCAAUGUAACUUUGAAAACCGAACCAGGAAAACUUGACAUCUUUAGCCAAUUGCUUGGUGGUGAGUAGACUUAAGCCAAUAUAUAAUCUGUAAAGGUUGUCCCUCUUUGCCCUCUCUCUAUCCAUGAAACGCAUUCACCAAACAGCCCAGAAAUAUUUCUUUCUUCUCCUCUCAGAGGUAUGUGAAACCAACCUGAAUCAACAACAUAGUUGUUCAACCAGCCUCACUGAGAACGAAGGCAUUUCAGAGCUGGAAAGACGCUAGGGUCUGGGGUCUUAUCUUCCACAUUUAUCUGCCUUAUUAUAAUCCAUCCAGUCAUCCUCUUUGCCCUUGCCAGAUCUCAUCGCUUACACUACCACUACCGAAGGAGCAAGUGUAACUCCUGAGGAGUGAGCUCUUCUUUCUUCCUUCCAUAAUGUCAGGCACUAAGGGAGGUUCAGAAACACAGAGCAGCAUCUACUCCUUUCUCAACGAGCGUGGGGUCCAGUGCAGUUGGCCCUCAUUUAACAAAUAAUUACACCCAUGCGUGAAAGGUCCAGUGGGGAAACAGUGCGGGGAGCCUCAGGCAGAGCUGAUUCAGGCCUGGGGAGGCACGGGAGCCACAUGUUCAGGGUCCACAGGCCCAGCGGAGUGAUACGGAAGUUUCCAAGAUGGUAAGCCUCUCUCCUGGCCCAUGCUCACCAACGGGACCCCAUUCCUAACCAGGCUUUCCCUCUCUCUCUUUUAAGUGUUCCAGGAAUGUUCCUACCCCUGCGUCUUUGCUGAAGCCCCUCUUGCCUGGGAUGCCCUCUGUCCUCUCUUUCUGCCCACACACAUCCUGCCAGUCCUUCAGACAGGGCCAGCCUCACGGGCAUAGGACCUGAGCAGUUUCACAGGGCCCUAUGCACAGAAGGAUCCCAAGCUCGGUUGAUUGCUCCGAUCUUGCCAUCUUGAAACUCUUUGAUAAUUUUAUCUUUUAUCUUGUGUUUUGGGAGUGAAAUCCAAUGGGAUAUUGGGGCCUGCAAAGGAGAAGAGGAGAUCCGCACAAACCCGUUCCUGGCUGCUGCAUUCACCUCCAGCGUUUGUGAUGCCCCAGAGCACAGAACUCCAGGGAGCCCACGAUGCAGGAGAGUUCAGCGACAUUCACUGAGUACAAGAGAAGUGAGUUACUCCUGCAGCUGAGCACGGGGGGCGCUGGCAACUGCGAAAGGUCUCGCUUUCCAUUCCAACCAGAACUUGCUCCUAGCGCAGACAGAAGGCCGUGGCAUUCUGAGAAACACACAUGAUGAAGGAGCCCUGUCAUAUCCUCUCUUCCUUGCAUCGCUUCCCCGUGUGAGCAACCACUUGUGCUGGAAAUGAUGACAAGGAAGGACCGGGAAAGACAGGGCCACCCGCAGUUCCUUUUCCUUGACGUCUUUCCUUCCUCAUCAGCGAGCUGAGGUGGAGAGCGUUGGUAGAAUGUGUGCAUAAUAAGAAGUGAAAUAAAAACAGUCGAGUUAGUAUUCUACUGUUUCCACUGUUCUGGUGAGAACAAAACACAUAUGCUGUAUAUGCUUUGAAAUACAAAGUGUGUAAUUUUAGUGAUUCUGCAUAGGAGUUAAAUGUUUUUAUAUUUGCAUUUAAAACUGCCAUUGUAUACUAUAAAGAUAAAGAGUAAAAUGUAUUCUAAUAGUUUAACUUUACUAAUAAUUUAGUUUUUACUUUUAUUUACCUAGAGUAACAUUAAAUAGCAAACAAACAAAACAAACAUCACAAGUUGAGAGAGAAACCACAAAAGAAAGAAAAAAGCUUUAUAUGUUAGUACCUUGAGAGGCACUUUUUCCUGCUUUUUGAGUAGGGAUUCAUGUUUUCCCGUUGCACUGGGCCUCACAAAUAAUGUAGCCAGCCCUGCCUUCAAAGUGCAUUCAAGUGACUCCCCCUUCAUAAUCACUUAAGCCUGGAGCCACGGCCUUGCCCCUGAACACGUAGAACAGUCAUGGCCGUACCAACCGUGAGCCAUUCUUGCCUCUCUCUCUUUUGUCUUAUUCUCUUGUCAUCUGUCCACCUCGCAGGACUGUUGGGAGGCACCAAUGGACUUUGCAACUGGAGAUCUCCCAACUGGACCAUGUCACUGUUAUGUUUAAUUUGCACUGUGCACAGUAGGUACCCAGUCAACGUUUGUCGAAUUCCAUGGACUGGGCCUUAUACCUCCGAGGAUUUUUCACAGCAGUAGCAUGUGCACAUGCACAGAACGAGAACACAACCAAUGCUUGUUUGCUGGUGAAGACCUGGUCUCAGUAUUUUGCCCAGGAAACCCUUUCUUCAUGGACAGCAUGAGGCAAGCUAUGGCCCUUGCUGUGGUCUCAGUGGUUCAGCACGGAAGAUGAAGAUGACGGGCAGUCUCAGAAUAUUAGCUUUAGAAGGGACUUUGGAUCCUUUUGAUUUUGGUAGGUGAAAUACUUUUUAAAAAUAAAGAAAACGGACUUUGGACAAAUGCUCUCAUUUUGUAAAUGAAAAAGUAGAGACAGGAAGAGUAACUGAUUUGUCCAAAAUCAAACAAAGUAAAUUGUGUUGCAUCCUCUCCAUCCGUAACCACCUUCGCCUUCCCUAACUGCUCCAUGUGGCCUGGGAAAGUCCACUUCACCUCGUCUUAGAGGUGGGCUUCUGAUUCUAGCUAAGCCAACCCCCA
rnacentral:lncRNA from 10 species